GCGGCAAUAGCUCAGUGGUAGAGCCCCGCUUCGCACGCGGGGAGAUCCCGGUUCGAUUCCCGGCUGUUUCC
rfam:Toxocara canis scaffold1124, whole genome shotgun sequence.